UAAAAUUUACUUGUUUAAAUAUUGGUAUUGCAUACUAUUACAAUAAAAUUUCAUGUUAAUGAAAAAUAGAAACAAAGGGUAGAGUAAAUAUUAGUUUUAUUGUUUCAUACUAAAAAUUAUAUUUAUUAGAGUUGAUAUGUCGACCUUUGUGAUAACUGUUUUUAUUCUUAUAUUAGAAAAUUAUAUAUUAUAUAAUUAUUUUAGGAAAUUUAAAAUUUGAAGUGUUUUAAAUAUAUGUUUUACAACAUUUUCCUAAUUUUAUUUAAGUUUAAUUUUUAAUUUAAUAAAGUUUUAUUAAAUAAAUAAUUUGUAAAUUAGUAAAUUUUAUAAAUUUAAUUUAUUAUUAAAAUAUAAUUGAAGAACUUGAAGUCUUGAUCAAAUGUUUUUUAAAGACUUAGGCUUUACAUUAAAGCUGGCUUCUGCCCUAUGAUAUUUAAAUGGCAGUCUUAGCGUGAGGACAUUAAGGUAGCAAAAUAAUUUGUGCUUUUAUUGAGUUCCAGUAUGAAUGAAGUUAUUGGUUAGUUCUAUUUAUGUUUUAUGUUUGUAUUUAAUUUUUAUUUAAGAAAAAAUAAAUAUAUUUAUACAAAGAUAAGUCUUCGGAAAUUCUGUUAUUACACAAUUAAAUAAUUGUGUAAUAAAUUUUCUAGGGCAGAAUAUUAUAUAAUAGUAUUUCACUAUAUUUAAUUUAAAGAAUUACUCCGGA
rnacentral:rRNA from 1 species